AUUGAACGCUGGCGGCAGGCCUAACACAUGCAAGUCGAACGAGUGGCGGACGGGUGAGUACUGUCUGGGAAACUGCCCGAUGGCGGGGGAUAACUACGGGAAACGGUAGCUAAUACCGCAUACCAUCGGAUGUGCCCAGAUGGGGUUAGCUAGUAGGUGGGGUAACGGCCCACCUAGGCGACGAUCCCUACCUGGUCUGAGAGGGUGACCAGCCACACUGGAACUGAGACACGGUCCAGACUCCUACGGGAGGCAGCAGUGGGGAAUAUUUGACAAUGGGCGCAAGCCUGAUGCAGCCACGCCGCGUGUAUGAAGAAGGCUUUCGGGUUGUAAAGUACUGUCAGCGAGGAGGCGUUACUCACAGAAGAAGCACCGGCUAACUCCGUGCCAGCAGCCGCGGUAAUUC
rnacentral:rRNA from 1 species